UUCAUUGGAUCGAACCGCAUUUUGCAACCGCUUCUGAGAAGAAAUGUUCGGCCAUUUGGAAGCAACGUGAAUGACUACGAAGAAUCACCGAUCUUUCCGAAUGAUCAAAAAAGAAAUUUUUGUCAAAAUCGGCAGUGGAGGUUCCAGAGGAUUACCCCAACGAACGGGAAGGCAUUUAUUUUGUGCUAGGUAAACCGAAGACAAAAACCACUGCAAGAACUUUACACAAGGGCAAAUUAUGGAGCAGAUACAAUAAUGUGAACCAGAAGUUAGGCGGUUCGCUAAAAAUAAUGCUAAAGAUUGUGAUCAGAAUGUGCAGGAAACACCGUACAUGUAUGCCAAAGCGAGAUCAGAAACAAUUACAGUCGGCAUAUUUCUAAAUGCUUCUGUUCUUAAUUUCUGAUUAAAAUCGGAGAUUCAGAAAAUUGCUUGAAUGAAGUAAGGUCCACAACGAUUGAGCGUUCAAUAGCUUUUUAGUAUCUAAGGAGCACAGUGGGUUUGGAUGAAACUCAAGCCAAAAAUUGGAAAAUUUGUAUCCAGGAUCGGGCACAGUUUUUGGAACCACAUGACAUUUAUAAUUACAUUCAGGAAAUCCCUAUUUUACAUACCCAGUUUGGGUAUAAGUUACUUCUGCAAGAUUUUGUACUUCGCUACAGUAAAGAAAGUGCAUCCUUGUUUACAGCUUGGGAAUACUUAGUUUCUGCAAUUUUAUCGAUCGGCAUAAAAAAGGACAUUUUGCAGCCAAUCUGGAGCACCCAAAUGGUAUCGUAUUGCACUGUUUCAAAAUCAGGACACGAUUGUCGCUUGGCAUUCAAAUUUAUUCUUCGAGUUUUAACAAACAAAAAGUUCAAAUACGCAUAACUUCGUCAGAAUUGUGUUCCCUAAUCACAAAAAUACGUGUCGGCUUGUUUUAUCCAAAAAACAUUAUAUUCGGCGCCGGAAAAAUUCUGCCAUUGAAUGUGUAGAACUUGUCUAAUUUCAAAUGGAUUCGGUCUUCUGGAUUUGUAAGGUUGCUUCCAAAUUGAUGUAAUACUCACAGGAUGAAACCCACGUUGACGAGGAACUAAAGCGACGAAAGGACGUAGUUGUUAACCAUGGAGACACUCUAAAAUCAUUUAUUUGAGCCGUUGGAAAUGAUCUCGAUCAUUUCACGAAGAUUUACGCCUACGUAGAUGGAAGGAAGUAUAGUAUGGACAGUCCUUUACAAGCACUGGACGUUUUCUUCAAGUUCUUCCACGCUCUAAACGCACAGUAUCCGAGUACUGAACAACAAGUAUGGAACUUUAUUCAAAAAUACCUGUAUAUCUGCAACAAUUCACACAGAUUUUGACGUGGAGAGUAGUUCACAAGAGGAAGUUGCUGCUGAGCUUUGCAUAGCUAGACCUCGUUUAAAAAAUAUCUUAUAGAAUGGAAUGUGUCGUAAUGUAAAGAGCCUACAAAAGAGAUGCUACCCUAAAAAAUAACUUGGUAUGUUAUAGUUUUCCUACGCUUAUGGUUUC